GUCUCAGUGUCCGUGACUUCUGCUUCUGCUGAUUGGAUUAUUGUAAAUUCGGGUAGAAGCAUUCGAGGCUCCGCUAACAAGAGGAUCACAGCGCCAAGUAGAUCAGAACACAGGUCGCAGGAAUCAACACCCUACCCGUCAGCCACUCCCAGAGAGGCGACCCGCCGCCCCCAAGCAAGUACUCUCUAGAGUACUUGCUCUAGAAAAGUACUUGCUCUUUAGAGUAGCUCUAAAAAAGAGGGACAGUAGCGAGAACUUCCUCGAGCGGACGUGAUUCAGAAGUCCCCUAUUGUGGAGAACGUCGCAGCGAGUCUAAUAUAAUCAUUGGUGUCCGGUCAACAACUCUCCCAAAACACUUCGACGAAACUGCUGCAGCUCCGAGGUGUAGUGCUAUGGAGGGUCAGGGCGUUGUGGUGCAUGGUUAACCCCUUUGUUGAGUGACUCAGGCGACAUUAUUUUGUUUUUUUGCUGUGAGGUUAAGUGCGUAAGUUGACCUUCUCGUGCGCAAUACUGGGGGCUGCUUAUCGGUGUUUAUUUAGCGAUAAUACGAGUCAACAAAUCAAUUCCCAAAGUCAUGAACUGAAGACACAAGAAUUGAAGAUAUUACCAAAGGCAGGAAGGAGCUCCCGCACGUCACCACACAUUAUCGUACAUCCAUCAACCCAGGAGUGCCUCUAGCCGCCAUGGAGACCCUCAGGUCGUCUGCAGACUACCCCGACUACCCUCAUUUCUUCAACGACAGCUGGGACGAGCCCCCUUGGGACGAGGCGGCCGAGUCAGAGAUUGCCAAGUGGGUGAUGAGGAUGUCGCGGGGCGUGGCCAGGGUCAUCGCUGUGCUCUUCAUAGGCUACAUGGUGUUGGGGCUGACUGGCAACUUCCUCACUAUCCUGGCCCUCCUGCGCUGUCCUCGGGUCAGGAACGUCACCGCUGCUUUCAUUAUAAGUCUGUGUGUGGCCGACUUCCUGUUCUGCGUGUUAGUACUGCCUUGGGAGGUGUCAAGAUUCCUUGCUGGCAAGUGGGUCUGGGGAGAAGGCUGGAUCUGCACCCUUUUCCCGCUUCUCAGGUACUGGAACGUUGCCGUCUCUCUACUGUCCAUCGCCAUGAUCACUAUCAACAGGUACAUCAUGAUAGCCCACUUCAGCGUGUACAAACUGGUGUACAGGAAGGGUUGGAUCGCCCUUAUGAUCGCCUUCUGCUGGGUCUUCGCCUUCGUCAUGCUUCUCCCUACCCUUCUCAGCAAGUGGGGACGCUUUGGCUUGGACCGACGGCUACAGACCUGCUCAAUCCUGGACGACAGCAACAAGUCGCCCAAGCAGGUGCUCUUCGGGUUGGGCUUCUGUGUUCCCGCCAUAGUCAUCGUCAUCUGCUACUCCCUGAUAUUCUUCGUCAUCCACAAGUCUGAGAAGCGGAUGCGUCAGCACAGCACCCGAGGCAUGAACGGGGCGGCGCCCCCCUCCGGACCUACCCUCCAGCCACAGUCCAGAGUCACCACCAAGGUGGAGCGAGAGGCCCGGCGCCGCAGGAAUGAGUGGAGGAUCACCAAGAUGGUGCUCAUCAUUUUCAUCGCUUUUCUCAUCACCUACCUGCCCAUCACCCUCGUUAAGAACCUGGACAAGAAGGUGGAUUAUCCAGGGCUCCACGUGCUCGGCUACGUACUUAUCUACAUCUCGGCGUGCAUCAAUCCUGUCAUCUACGUCAUCAUGAACAGACAGUAUCGACAGGCCUACAAGACGGUGCUGUUGUGUCGACGUCCCCGUCUCCCGUCUCUCACCUCCUCCCACACAGAGCUCAACAAAGCUGCCUCGUGUCGCAAGUAUGCCCACCUCAGGUGCAACUCCUGCAUGUCCCAGCAGCCCUCCUCCAACACGCCCACACCCCGCCCACAAACACGCCCACACACACUGCAUGACCUCUCUUUUCCAAACAGAAACACCACUUUCCCAAUCCGGCAUCUGGGGUUCGACACCCCAGACACACAGAGUCUGGACACCCUAUCUGUAGAUACCAACAGAGAUACCAGUACCUGCAAGGAUUGUGAGCUGAUAAGAAGACACCACAAGCUCUCGUGUGUCGAAUGCCUUACAGCUAAGAACACCAGACGGAACACCUUUCAAAGUCUUAGCGAGGCUCUGGCUACUCGAGGGCGAUCUAUUGAGAGCUUCGCUAUGCAACACGUUGUCGAUCAUCUCCCUCAUCCAAUCCUCAACCGGUUCAUCCAAGUUGAAUCAUCCGUAUCCCUUGAAAAUGCUUCCUUGAGAAGUAAUACCCCAGCUCUAGCUGAAGUGUCUAAGUCUGCUAAAGAAAGUUCCCCAAACAAUUCCUUUGACGAAGAAACUGAUACGUGCAGCAAUAAAAAUACAUUAGCCAAAUACAUUAGUCUGACAACAACACAAGAAAUUGACCCACUCAGAAGCAAGGGAGAGUCUAAGACUCCUGAUCAAAACGGCAUCUGUUCCUUCAUAAACCCGACUUACACUCAAAGUCAAACAAUAGAACACAACCAGGACCAACACAACACAAGGAUCAACUUUAGACAACAGAACACAACCAGGGGUCAACAGUACACCAUGGAACAUAACCAGGACCAACACAACAACACUACAGAACACAACCAGGACCAACACCAUACUACACAACACAAGGAUCAACUUUAGACAACAGAACACAACCAGGGGUCAACACCAGAUAGCAUAACACAAGGGGUCAAGACUAAAUAACACAACACAAUAAGGGGUCAUCACCAAACAACACAACACAUCCCAGAUGUAUGACAAACUACAAGACACAAACACAACAUCAAACCCAUACACGACUACCAGGAUGGAACACCACAACAGUCAGAAUAACAUUGACUACACCACAACGACUGAAUUCAGCAGUAGGCUUCACCCAACCUCUUAAAACACACUAUCUUGAGGUUAUCUUGAGAUGAUUUCGGGGCUUUUAGUGUCCCCGACCAGGCCUCCACCCCCAGGAAGCAGCCCGUGACAGCUGACUAACACCCAAGUGCCUAUUUUACUGCUAGGUAACAGGGGCAUAGGGUGAAAGAAACUCUGCCCAUUGUUUCUCGCCUGGGAUCGAACCCAGGACCACAGGAUCACAAGUGCAGCGUGCUGUCCGCUCAGCCGAUCGGCUCCCACUAUACGAUAAAUCCGAUACAAAUUCUUUCUUGAGGAAAGGAAUCGAGACAUUUAAAGUCAAAGACUGGACGACUUUUUUUCCCAAUCUCAAACACAGAACUGAAACCAAUCUUACCCCCAACUCAAGAUGGAGUUUUCACCCUAAGAGGAUGCCCCAAAUCAAGAUAUACCCCCCCCCCCUCCCCUACCCUCGGUUCAAACACAACCCAUCACCCUGAUUUCUAGACGAGGCUGCGACAAGAGAGCAUCUUCAGGAAGAAACGUUUCAAGUUCUCCGUCGAAGUCUUCAGUCUCGGAAUGACGGAGAAGCCCGCCUUCUGGGGCUCCAUGCGUCGAAGUCUUCAGUCUCGGAAUGACGGAGAAGCCCGCCUUCUGGGGCUCCAUGCGUCGAUGUCUUCCAUCUCGGAAUGACGGAGAAGCCCGCCUUCUGGGGCUCCAUGCGUCGAUGUCUUCAAUCUCGGAAUGACGGAGAAGCCUGCCUUCUGGGGCUCCAUGCGGUCCCAGUGCCAGCCGUGCAUGCUAAGCUUUGAGUGCCAAGACUGAGACUGCAUGAUCAGUAUUCUUUCUGCAUGCGAGUCAUCUUUUGCACCGUCAGAGCGCGGGAAGGGUCGGAACAAGAUGGUGAUGGAGGAGCUGAAUGACAAGACCAUGAUGUCUCAAGUCUCUCUCUCCGACGCCGGCCCCUUGCCCGAGUGCCACGAGCUUCCUGAGGUCUUCCUCGACAAGUGACCCUCCACACACACACACACACACACACAAGUUAAUCUGUGUGGUUA